rnacentral:rRNA from 1 species
GACGAACGCUGGCGGCGUGCCUAAUACAUGCAAGUCGAACGAGAGCAACUGGUGCUUGCACUGGUCAAUCUAGUGGCGAACGGGUGAGUAACACGUGGGUAACCUGCCCAUCAGAGGGGGAUAACAUCCGGAAACGGAUGCUAAAACCGCAUAGGUCUUCGAACCGCAUGGUUUGAAGAGGAAAAGAGGCGCAAGCUUCUGCUGAUGGAUGGACCCGCGGUGCAUUAGCUAGUUGGUGAGGUAACGGCUCACCAAGGCCGUGAUGCAUAGCCGACCUGAGAGGGUGAUCGGCCACAUUGGGACUGAGACACGGCCCAAACUCCUACGGGAGGCAGCAGUAGGGAAUCUUCCGCAAUGGACGCAAGUCUGACGGAGCAACGCUGCGUGAGUGAAGAAGGUUUUCGGAUCGUAAAACUCUGUUGUUAGAGAAGAACAAGUGCUAGAGUAACUGUUAGCGCCUUGACGGUAUCUAACCAGAAAGCCACGGCUAACUACGUG